UACGUAGGGUGCGAGCGUUAAUCGGAAUUACUGGGCGUAAAGCGCGCGCAGGCGGUCCUUUAAGUCUGAUGUGAAAGCCCACGGCUCAACCGUGGAGGGUCAUUGGAAACUGGGGGACUUGAGUGCAGAAGAGGAAAGUGGAAUUCCACGUGUAGCGGUGAAAUUCGUAGAUAUUCGGAAGACACCAGUGGCGAAGGCGGCUAACUGGCCCAUUACUGACGCUGAGGCUCGAAAGCGUGGGGAGCAAACAGGG
rnacentral:rRNA from 1 species